CCUAUCCUCCAUAUUAUUUUUACCAGGCUUGGUGCUGUGGAAAGGACACUCCAGCUUCACAUACAGCGUCAAAGUCCUCCAUACAGAGCACGUUACCAUAGUCUCUUGAGACUGAAGGAUGCCUAUGUGGUCCUAUGCAUAUGGUCCCCUGGGUGGCCCUGGCACAUUUGAAAGGGAGCACGGACUGGAAACAAUUCUUCACACACAAACAUAUCACUCAUCUGUUUAAAAUGGCUCCAAUAAACCUUGCAGAUCCCAGCUCCAGGUCACUGCAUAACAUGAGAACUGGGCCCCUGUUCUUCACCCUGAUAAUGAACCAAGUACACAAAUGUAAUGACAAUUUGGAAGGCUUGUGGUUCAUCUAGAACACCCAGCUAUGACCGUGUAUGUGCGCUGCAUGCUAGCUUCCCAAUGGUACUUUGUUUCUAUUACUAGAGUUCUGGGAGAUAAGAUUUUAGCCAAUAUUAAAGAUCUGUUGGCAGAUUUCUCUAUUGGCAUAUCUACAAAAUCAACUGGCAGAUGAGGGUUCUGCUGGCAGAUUUCUGCUGGUAAAAGGGGAUUUUAGCCAGCAAAUUAGUCUUGUGCCUAAUCAUAACUUUCUAGGAACACUGCCACAGAAUUGGUUUCUUCCAAUUACCAAAGUUCUCAAUAUGGGAACAUUAAGAGAAGACCCCAGAGUAAUUCAAGGAUCCUUAGAAUUCUAAAAUAUAAGUAGACUAUAUAUAAAGUUGUGCUCUUACUAAGGUUAACAGCUGCUAUUGGGGCAUUGCUUUUCAGUAUCAAUUGCAAACAAAUUGAAACAGUGGCUGUACACAUUACAGCAUAUAGUGCAAUGUGAGUAGGAGAAGACAAUCCCUAUAGUUAAAGUUCUACUAUAUAUUUACUCGGAAGUGAACCCAGUCUUUCUAAACACUUAAACAGUUCAGUUCUUUUUCUAGGCAAUGAUGGGGAGAUAGUAGCUGGGUUUUUUGGGGGGAGGGGGUUGUUUGUUUGCUGAUUAACUAUAAUUCUUUUUAAAAGCUUCAAUCAUGAUCUAUCACUUAUCACUAGAAGGGAUCAUGAUAUAAUUGUACCUUAGCUCAAAUAAGUCAUUGUAACUCAGUUCUGAGAAAAGAGAAGUCACCACAGAAAAUACUAGAACAUGGUGGGUUGCUAACAACAUGGUUGGACCAGCAUUCCUGCCCAUCAUCUGCCAUCUCACGGGGCACUGGGUGAGAGACAGUGCUGCUGCUGCUAUCAGCUGCUAGCUUCCCCUGUAGGAGUUUGGCUCCCGAUUGCUACUGCCUUGCUGGACUGGGUCUGUGCAACUGGCUGCUCCCCACCCCCUCAUCAACACUGGCCACCUGGUUCCAGGGGAGAAGGGAC
rnacentral:lncRNA from 1 species